rnacentral:rRNA from 1 species
UACGUAGGUGGCAAGCGUUGUCCGGAUUUACUGGGCGUAAAGGGAGCGUAGGCGGACCUUUAAGUGAGAUGUGAAAUACCCGAGCUCAACUUGGGUGCUGCAUUUCAAACUGGAGGUCUAGAGUGUCGGAGAGGUAAGUGGAAUUCCUAGUGUAGCGGUGAAAUGCGUAGAGAUUAGGAAGAACCCCGGUGGCGAAGGCGACUUACUGGACGAUAACUGACGCUGAGGCUCGAAAGCGUGGGGAGCAAACAGGAUUAGAUACCCUGGUAGUCCCUGAG